rnacentral:rRNA from 1 species
AUUGAACGCUGGCGGCAGGCCUAACACAUGCAAGUCGAGCGAGCGGCGGACGGGUGAGUAAUGUCUGGGAAUCUGCCCGAUGGAGGGGGAUCACUACUGUAAACGGUAGCUAAUACCGCAUACCAUCGGAUGUGCCCAUAUGGGAUGAGCUAGUAGGUGGGGUAAAGGCUCACCUAGGCGACGAUCCCUAGCUGGUCUGAGAGGAUGACCAUCCACACUGGAACGGAGACACGGUCCAGAGUCCUACGGGCGGCAGCAGUGGGGAAUAUUGCACAAUGGGGGCAAGCCUGAUACAGCCAUGCAGCGUGGGUGAAGAAGGCCUUCGGGUUGUAAAGCACUUUCAGCGGGGAGGCGUUACUCGAAGAAGAAGCACCGGCGAACUCCGUGCCAGCAGCCGCGGUAAGUC